UACGUAGGGUGCGAGCGUUUAAUCGGAAUUACUGGGCGUAAAGCGUGCGCAGGCGGUUUUGUAAGCCAGAUGUGAAAUCCCCGGGCUUAACCUGGGAAUGGCAUUUGGGACUGCAAGGCUUUGAGUGUGGCAGAGGGAGGUAGAAUUCCACGUGUAGCAGUGAAAUGCGUAGAGAUGUGGAGGAAUACCGAUGGCGAAGGCAGCCUCCUGGGCCAACACUGACGCUCAUGCACGAAAGCGUGGGGAGCAAACAGG
rnacentral:rRNA from 1 species